rnacentral:misc_RNA from 1 species
GAAAUGCGAUAAGUAAUGUGAAUUGCAGAAUUCAGUGAAUCAUCGAAUCUUUGAACGCACCUUGCGCUCCUUGGUAUUCCGAGGAGCAUGCCUGUUUGAGUGUCAUGAAAAUGUCAACUGCUUUUAGCAUUUAUGAUAAAAGUGAAGUUGGAAUUGGAGGAUAAUUGCUGGCGUGACUUAGGUUGCUUGUUGGCUCCUCUUGAAUGCAUGAGCGUUUCUAAUAGAUCAUGGCUUAGCGACACUAAUGUGAUAAUUAUCUAUGUUAGAUGUAGAAAGCUGUGAGUAGGGUGACUUCAAUUAUGGAGGAGCUCCUAUAGAAAGGCGUGAGAUGAUAAUAACCAACACAUCUGACCUCAAAUCAGGUAGGACUACCCGCUGAACUUAA